UUGCAACAAUAUCCUUUUAUGUU
rnacentral:snRNA from 1 species